AAAGUUAUGAAAAUUGAUAUUUUUUUUCCCUCUUCCGGAUUUUGACAGCCAAGAGGUGGCAACCCUAUCUGUAAUUCCUGUAUUCUGUAAAGUAGUGUAAAUAGGCAUUUUUUCAGAAACCUGCAUCCGAGGAUAAAUAAAGCAGAAGGGUAAUGUUUUCCUGUGUUCCAUGCAAUAAAACAUUUACUGGUAUUCAACCAUAUAAGGAUCAUAUGUUUUCAGAAAAACAUAGAAAGAAAGUCUAUCAGCCAUCAGUUACAUCAUCUGAAGAAAAUAAUUAUCUUUCACUUGGUGUGUCAGAACUCUCAUUAAGCCCUUAUGUGCAAAAUAGAGGCAAUUUCUAUAUCUGCACGUUGUGUGCUGCACAUCUGAAUAGUUCUCAACAACUCCAAAGCCAUCUCUCUGGUUCAAAACACAGUAAAAUGGUUAAAAUGCAAAGUGGCAUGCCUGCAGACAAUACAAGCAAUGCAGAUAAUUACAAAGAUGAGCUUUCAGCUACAUUUAAAUUUCAUGAUUUGUUGAUCAAAGACGUAUUGGCAGAUGUUAAAUUUUUCAAAGCUGAUGAACCAAUUAUCUUUUAGAUAUGUACCAGUUUUUUAUGUAUAUUUGUAUUCUGUAAAAAUAAUUUUAUAAUAAUAAUAAUAAAUGCAGCUGCUAAAGUC